AGUGAACGCUGGCGGUAGGCCUAACACAUGCAAGUCGAACGGCAGCACAGUAAGAGCUUGCUCUUACGGGUGGCGAGUGGCGGACGGGUGAGGAAUACAUCGGAAUCUACUUUUUCGUGGGGGAUAACGGAGGGAAACUUACGCUAAUACCGCAUACGACCUACGGGGGAAAGCAGUGGAUCUUCGGACCUUGCGCGAUUGAAUUAGCCGAUGUCGGAUUAGCUAGUUGGCGGGGUAAAGGCCCACCAAGGCGACGAUCCGUAGCUGGUCUGAGAGGAUGGUCAGCCACACUGGAACUGAGCCACGGUACAGACUCCUACGCGAGGCAGCGGUGGGGAAUAUUGGACAAUGGGCGCAAGCCUGAUCCAGCCCUACCGCGUGGGUGAAGAAGGCCUUCGGGUUGUAAAGCCCUUUUGUUGGGAAAGAAAAGCAGCAGGUUAAUACCCCGCUGUUCUGACGGUACCAAAAGAAUAAGCACCGGCUAACUUCGUG
rnacentral:rRNA from 1 species